rnacentral:tRNA from 1 species
GCCGGAGUGGUGGAAUUGGCAGACACACGGGUCUCAAAAACCCGCGGGUUCGCGCCCGUGUCGGUUCGACUCCGACCUCCGGCA